UUAAGGGCCUGAGUUAUGGUCAGGUAGAAAGAAGGACACUAUAUGCUAAAGCUGCUAUGAUGGGCAACUGGGCAAGAAAAGGCAGAGGCAGAGAGUUUAAUUGUAUGGAGACAAUUGGGUACAAGUAGGGUCAGUAUCAGGAGAGGCUUCUUAAAGAAGGUGAUGCUUGGGCUGAUUCAUGAGAGAUGAGUGUUUACCUCAUGAGGAGGAGCUUGAUUGGAUGAAGGGAGAUGGAAGAGCAUGGAGGACAGUACAGAAGCCCAGAGAUAGGCAAGACAACUUCACCCAGGAAGCAUAUAAAACCACUCCAGUGGACAAUGUCGUUCUCUUGGACCAGAUGAAUUCUGAAAUCCAAUCUAGUGUAGCCGUUGAUUCAUUUGGAUAGAGAAGACAAGAUUGAGAAACAGUAUAAAACAGAACACAUAACUGCCUUCCUGUAUGCCUCAGUGUCCUCAACAAAAGAGAAAGAAAGCCAGAAGAAAAGAAAGAGAAAGAGAGAGAGAGAGAGAACAAGAACGUGGAAAUCGAGUUCCCAAUAUGACUGAUCAGGAUCAAGAAUCAUCAGCUCUCCACGCUUUUCAUAUUUUCCCUGGAGAAGAGCCAGGAUGUGAAUAUUUAUAAACACUGAAUAAUCACC